rnacentral:lncRNA from 1 species
UUUUCCUUUUUUUCAACUCGAAUGGGCUCACCCGUGGCUGUUAGAUGAGAUGUGAACCAUGAAAUGUAGUUCAAUCUACCUAAGAGACCACGAACCUCUUUUUCUGUUUUCGGUUCAGGCAUUUCUCGUAUUGUUUUUGUUCUUCUUCUUUUUUUUUUUUUAGCAGGAUCAACCUCGAUUCCUCUCUUACAAUGAACCCCAGCAGCUUACCGGACCGCACUCUGAAAGUGCACUUAUUUGAAUUCAACCUCAGUUUGAAUUGUCUCAACUGGUCCAAUCAACUGGUCCACUCAGCUUGGCCAGAUCUACCAGAUGCCCCUCUUCUGUUUGGGACUUUGCUAUCAUGUCAUCAACAUAGCAUUCAAUUUCAUGAUGAAUCAUAUCAUGAAACAAAGUCACCAUGAUACGUGGC